rnacentral:miRNA from 1 species
CCGUUCACUCAACUCGUCAGUC